rnacentral:lncRNA from 1 species
GGUGAAACAACCUCCUGUCUCAGCCACCUUUCAGCACAGGCAAGCAAGAAGAACUCUUAGAGAUGCAGGUGCCUCACCAAGAUGACAAGAAAUUUCAGAGUUUCCUCACAUUCUGCUGGUGGGAAGAAGGCCUGUACACUCUGUUACCAUCAGCGACAAGAAGCAGAUCUCUGGUGGAUUCAGGGGAUCAGUAUGGAAUGCGAUAAAGAACUCCUGCUGGGAGGCUCUGGAAGUUCAUGGACAUCUUUUCUGCACCUGCCAAAGGUGAUUCUCGGAAAUGCUGCAGGGUGGCUGAAUGUCUGUAUUACUCUUUUCUCUACAGUUAUCAUCUUCCUCACCCUAUGUAAUGAGGAAAGAAAGCCAGAGUAGUUACAUAACAUGUUCUCAGCAAGAAACCAAAUAAUUGCUAAUGUUGUGUUUAUUUUGUUUCCAUGUCAAACUGAAAAAAAAAGCUGAUAUCCCACUGUGAAC